CACUCGUUGACCCGUUUUCCCGCGACAGGAAACCCGGUCCUUUCUCAAUUUUCCGGCCACCUCCAGGAGUCGAAUGGGUCUGGUUCGCUUCAUCUAAUCAACACGCGUCAGAUCCCUAUCGUUUCUUCUCCGAAAAGCCAUCGCCGGCGGCAGGAGGAAUCUCAAAGGGUUAUCGGGUUUCCGAUCGGAUUUCCCGAUUCCGGCCAAUUCGCGGAGUCUCACCGGUGUCAAAUGCUUCCUCUCGAUCUUGCGCAACCUAUCCAUGGUGUUGGUUUGUCCAGAUGAUAAGGCAGGAGAGAGAAUUGAAGCCGGGAAGCUUCGGCCUGCUGGUUCUCUGAGUUUUUGGGUGACUCAGACAGGGAACGACGACAAAUAAGGUAUCAAAAUUUAUCCUCUCAUCAAGCUCUGCCUCUAUGUAUGCUUGAAUUCAAUAUUGGAUUUAGAUCGAAGAAAUUGAAAUAGGAUAUGGUUGCGAGUUCACCGUUCACGGCGACGAGUUUGACCUUAUUUGCCAAUUUCUGACCACGAUUUCAGACAUUGAAGGUUCUCUGGUAACUUAAGUAACUAAAAUUGAAGAAUUUGGAUUCUUUGAAGCUACUGUGUUUGUUGAAAAACUACGGUUGUUUGUUAAGCUUAUUGCGUUGAUUAUAAGUUAUAACAAUUGUUGAUUCGUGCAUUGGAGUAACAUUUGAAGCAUAAUUGAGAUAGAAAUGGAGAAGUAUGGUUGACAACAAGAAUUGGAUAGUUGAGGAUUGAACUAUUGUGAGCAGGUGUGUUUUGGUGGAAAAUGCAUUUUGAUUGAGAUAUCGCAAGUAUGAUGGUUGGAAAGGGAAAACUGAAAGUCAGGGUGUCCUUGGUAAAUUUCGAGGACGUGAUCGAGUUCUAUUUUGAUUUUGGAACAACUAAUUUGAAGUGAUACCCCCGACUGUCAUUGGAUUAAGGAUUUGAUACGAGAAAUGAAUGUGUACCAAUCCCACAAGUAAAGUAAAGGUCAACUCUCAAAGUUUGAAGAUUGGUUUGACUCCGAAAGUCAGGGAAGUGGUUGUCAGAUAAGGAUUGGUGGACAUUGACGAAUGAUUUAGCUAUCAAGACACUGGUGUAUCUAGAAUUGAAAAACAGAACAGUUUCAAGUGGUACUGCAAAAAUCAAUCUCAGUUUUGAGAAGUCUAUGAAAAAGAAAGAGACACAUGGGUCCAAAUCAGGAAGAAAAAUAGGAGAAGCCAAAUUUUGGGAUGUGGCUAGUGAUAAAGAUCGAUGGGAAUGAUGACUCGGGUGAAGAAGAAUUUGUCCUUGUUAAUCAAGAAGAUAUAGUAGAGGGGAUUGCCUGGCUGUUUCGCUUAAACAGACUAAGGAACUCUAUACUCUGAGCAUCACUUACUUCCAAAGCCUUAAGAGUUUUUAUCAUUAUACGACACCUAGUACACAACUUUCGUUAAGUAGGCUGAAAAUUCCAGGCAGCAUUCGACAAGUGGAAUGUUGUCUUUGAACUAAAAUUUCUUAAUUGUCAAGCAGGGAAGGGCGACUGAAAGUCUACGAUGUAGCAUUAGUUGUUUGACUCCAUGCCAUGGAACACCAAUGAUGCUGAUUGGGAAUAAAAUGAAAAUUCUGUAAAUGAAAUAACAACUGUUAUGGACAAGUUACCGAGAUUCACAACCCCCAGGAGUGUAGUUAAGGUAACAGAAGCUAAACCCAUUACUUAUUUCAGUUUUGGAUACUUGUUGCGACUGUUUUUUCCUCUGUUUCUCAUGUCCCAAAUUGCUUUAAAAGCUUGUCUUGUGUCCUGGAUAAUAUAAUUGAGUCAAUGGAUAUAAGAAUAAUAUUGCUACAAGAAAUUAUUCGGAGUAUAUGAAACUAGCAGACCUGAGGCUAGAGGGCAGGGUCAAGUGGGGAGUGAGGUAGUUGAGAAGCAAGUGUGGGUAGCCUUGUGAUGUGUGCAUGUAGAGCUAAUAGUGAGGCCAGGCAGGAGCAAUGUGGUUGCUAUGUUGGAAGGCAGAUUACCUGUAGGGGAAGCCCAGGAUUGAGGCACUUGAAUUUUUAUAGUUUGAUGGUGGAAAUUCACUGGGGCAUUCACAAAGUUUACAGGGACGGGGUUGUGCUGUAGGAGAAGAAGUUCUUUCCUACAAGGUAGAUGAAUUUACAUACCGCUGACCAGUGAAACUGCAAACACUGCUUGAGUCAAUUCUCUGUCUUGCAACUUUCGGAGACAGAGCUCUAAGCUCUUGUUGGACGCAAUUUUCUUCUUUCUUUUUUUAUAUUAUUUUCUCAGUGAAUGAGCUGUACGCAGACGUAAGGUGAUGUGUUCAUGGACUAAGAAAAUAACAAAGUUCAUAUUUUCUGAAGUUAGAUAGGAGUAGUAUAGAAUUUGAGUUGUUGUGUCCAUGGAAGAUGGUCAUAUUAAUUCAUUUUCACAUUUUGCUAUAUAAAAUGUACUCAUUUUGAUUCCCUCUGCCUGUUUAUUCUCAUGGCCUGUCAAUAUCUGGGAUCCAUUACCUCUAUAUACAAAAACAAGAUUCUGAGGUUAGUAUUUAUCUAGGAAUAACUAACGGAUCUAGGCAUGUGAAACCCUCGAACAUCUAUUCCAAAGUACUCCUAAUGUAUUUAGUAGUUAUAAAUCUUGUUGUCAGUGGAAGAGAUUUAUGUGGCCUGCUUGGAAAAGACUGGCUCUGGAUGGGCCUUCUUGUUAUUGACAUGGUCACAAUAGAACAUUAGUUGUGAGAAAAAUAAAUAGUAGAUGGGAUCCUGAAUAGCAUUGUUACAAAAAAUACAUUAGGUAUGGAGAACAUUAUUUAAGUUGCAUAUAUUGACAUGCAUUACCUACCUAAUUUGAGUAAAUUCUAUUGUACUUGACCCAGUCGAUGAAGAUCAAUGUAUGAAACCUAGUAAGUCUUCGUCAA